GUGGGGAAUCUUAGACAAUGGGGGAAACCCUGAUCUAGCCAUGCCGCGUGAUCGAUGAAGGCCUUAGGGUUGUAAAGAUCUUUCAGGUGGGAAGAUAAUGACUGUACCACCAGAAGAAGCCCCGGCUAACUCCGUGCCAGCAGCCGCGGUAAUACGGAGGGGGCUAGCGUUGUUCGGAAUUACUGGGCGUAAAGCGCACGUAGGCGGAUUGGAAAGUUGGGGGUGAAAUCCCGGGGCUCAACCCCGGAACUGCCUUCAAAACUCCCAGUCUUGAGUUCGAGAGAGGUGAGUGGAAUUCCGAGUGUAGAGGUGAAAUUCGUAGAUAUUCGGAGGAACACCAGUGGCGAAGGCGGCUCACUGGCUCGAUACUGACGCUGAGGUGCGAAAGCGUGGGGAGCAAACAGGAUUAGAUACCCCGGUAGUCC
rnacentral:rRNA from 1 species